AUGUGCAUGCAUAUAUACAUUUUUGUUGUGGAACUUCAAACUACCAAUAAAUUUUCCCUUCUAGCUGACAUGAUGGGAAAAAUGCAACUUUCAUUGGGUUAUAAGAAUAGUACAAACAUUCAAACAAGACGGAAUGUGUUAGGCAUUGAACACGUAAAUGGAUCUCUUUAUGAGACUACACAGACCAAAACUGUAUGGCUUUCGAUAUUCUGUGGCACAAAUAUACUAAAACUUUGUAGCUUUGAAGCUGCCCAAUACUACAUGGUACUUCUGAGAUCAAGAGAGAAGGUAGCAAAAAUCUUUGCAAUGCCAUUUUCCCUUGAGAUAAAUAAAUACUGCAACUUAUUCAUUACAUAG
rnacentral:rRNA from 1 species